AACGAACGCUGGCGGCAUGCCUAACACAUGCAAGUCGAACGAGACCUUCGGGUCUAGUGGCGCACAGGUGCGUAACGCGUGGGAACCUGCCCUUAGGUUCGGAAUAACUCCCCGAAAGGGGUGCUAAUACCGGAUAAUGUCUUCGGACCAAAGAUUUAUCGCCUUUGGAUGGGCCCGCGUUGGAUUAGCUAGUUGGUAGGGUAAAAGCCUACCAAGGCGACGAUCCAUAGCUGGUCUGAGAGGAUGAUCAGCCACACUGGGACUGAGACACGGCCCAGACUCCUACGGGAGGCAGCAGUGGGGAAUAUUGGACAAUGGGCGAAAGCCUGAUCCAGCAAUGCCGCGUGAGUGAUGAAGGCCUUAGGGUUGUAAAGCUCUUUUACCCGGGAUGAUAAUGACAGUACCGGGAGAAUAAGCUCCGGCUAACUCCAUG
rnacentral:rRNA from 1 species